rnacentral:lncRNA from 1 species
UCGAAUUGAGGAUGCUAGCUUCAUAAGCAUCGGGCCUAGGCUUUUCAGGAUCUUGAGCCUGGCUGGAUGUUUCAGCAAGUCUUCGUUUUGAACUCAUUUUCGGCGACUGUUCUUGUUCCUGUAAGAAAUUCUCUGGUUAGGAAAUCAGGUAAAGAAUUAUUUUCUCCUUUAAUGAAUUCAAUAUCAAAAUCAAAGACAGAUAAAAUUGCUUGCCAACGUGCAAAUAUUUGUUUAGACGCUAUAUUCUUUACGUCUUUGAAUAAAAUGUCUUUAGCACUUUUGCAAUCAACUCGAAUCAGGAAUUUUUGAUUUAAAAGAUCUGAUUCAAAUUUUUGCACACAAAGCACUAUAGAUAAGAUUUCUUUUUUAACUGUCGAGUAAUUAAUUCUUGGGCCAGUCCAAAUCCCACUAGUAAAGCGCACUAAGCUUUCUUUUCCAUUUAAACGCUGUUUUAAGAUUCCUCCGUAUCCAAUGUUGGAUGCGUCAGUUUCCACUAUCUUAAAAGCAUCUGGAUGAGGGAUGGCCAGACAAGGAAUGGUCUUUACUUUUGCUUUUAUCCUUUUGACAGCUAAUGUAUGCUCCGCUGUCCAUACAGGUGGCACUUUCUUAAGCCGUUCAAAUAAUGGCUUUGCAUCUUGAGCCAAUAAAGGAUAAAAAUCACUGACAUAAUUCAGACAUCCGAGAAAUCGCUGGAGUUGAGUUUUUUCUUUAAUUUCAUCAGGAAAUUUAUCUGCAAACUCA